GACGAACGCUGGCGGCGUGCUUAACACAUGCAAGUCGAACGGAAAGGCCCUGCUUUUGUGGGGUGCUCGAGUGGCGAACGGGUGAGUAACACGGGAGUAACCUGCCCUUGACUUUGGGAUAACUUCAGGAAACUGGGGCUAAUACCGGCUAGGAGCUCCUGCUGCAUGGUGGGGGUUGGAAAGUUUCGGCGGUUGGGGAUGGACUCGCGGCUUAUGAGCGUGUUGGUGGGGUAGUGGCUUACCAAGGCUUUGACGGGUAGCCGGCCUGAGAGGGUGACCGGCCACAUUGGGACUGAGAUACGGCCCAGACUCCUACGGGAGGCAGCAGUGGGGAAUAUUGCACAAUGGGCGGAAGCCUGAUGCAGCAACGCCGCGUGCGGGAUGACGGCCUUCGGGUUGUAAACCGCUUUCGCCUGUGACGAAGCGUGAGUGACGGUAAUGGGUAAAGAGGCACCGGCUAACUACGUG
rnacentral:rRNA from 1 species